rnacentral:misc_RNA from 1 species
AAGGAGAUUAUUUUUUCUUUGUGUCAUGUGUCAUCGUGUUGGUGGCGUGUGGCUAUUUUUUGUUUUUGGGUGGAACACCUACUGGUUAGAUCACUGAAGUGGUGGUCUGCGCGUGCGUGUGAUGACUUUAAGCGUUUGUGCUUUCCUUUGGUGUUGGUUGGUUGUUGGUGCGCUGUUGGGUGUCUGGGAUGACACAUGUUGUUGUUCCUGUUUACAGGUUGCUGCGUGCUGCGGGCAGGCUGCUGUUGUGGUGGUUUGUUGUGUGGUGUGUGGGUGUUGUGUGAGAACUGGAUAGUGGACGCGAGCAUCUUGUUUUUCUGUAAGUUCGAUUUUGUCAAGCAGUUUUUCUGUUUGUGAUUGUUCUUAGUUAUUUGUUUGUGUGUUGUGUU